rnacentral:piRNA from 1 species
UUCAUUACUGGCUGUCACCCUUGCU